GCAUCAUGACAUCAUAAACUAAAGGUGCUUAAUCAAAACAACUGAUAAUUUUUUUUAAACAAAGUUUGAGAUCCGAUUUGCUCCGUUAUCAUUUCAACUCAAAUAACAUACGCGGAACAGGUGUUUCAACGAUUUCGAAUAUUUUGAUUUUAACACAGGUCCAUUUUUAAGGAUGUUUUUGGUUGUGCCCGAUUUAAAACAUCUCUUCCUGUUAUUCUCCAUUGGAUUUUAUUAUGUUGGGGGUACCAGCUGCAAAACACCUUUAUUAAAGAAAUGCAAGUGUGGCAGGGGCCCAUAUGAUGGCAAAGAAUUAUUUAUUGUCAACUGUA